UACGUAGGAUCCGAGCGUUAUCCGGAUUUACUGGGCGUAAAGAGUUGCGUAGGUGGCAGAGUAAGUUAGUAGUGAAGUCGUGUGGCUCAACCAUGCUCACAUUACUAAAACUGCUCAGCUUGAAGAUGAGAGAGGUCACUGGAAUUCCAAGUGUAGGAGUGAAAUCCGUAGAUAUUUGGAGGAACACCGAUGGCGUAGGCAGGUGACUGGCUCAUUCUUGACACUAAGGCACGAAAGCGUGGGGAGCAAACGGG
rnacentral:rRNA from 1 species